CCUACGGGGGGCAGCAGUGAGGAAUAUUGGUCAAUGGGCGGAAGCCUGAACCAGCCAAGUCGCGUGAGGGAAUAAGGCCCUACGGGUCGUAAACCUCUUUUGCCGGGGAGCAAGGGCGGGGACGUGUCCCGGCCCGGAGAGUACCCGGAGAAAAAGCAUCGGCUAACUCCGUGCCAGCAGCCGCGGUAAUACGGAGGAUGCGAGCGUUAUCCGGAUUUAUUGGGUUUAAAGGGUGCGUAGGCGGGCUGUUAAGUUUGUGGUUAAAUGUCGGGGCUAAACCCCGGAUUGCCAUUAAAACUGGCGGG
rnacentral:rRNA from 1 species